CGCCAAUCGGACAGCUCCGGCCACGCCCCCGGGGCGCUAGCCCGCAGCCAAUGAGCAACUAGAGCCCGGCUGGGAGCUGCGCCGGCCAAUCACAGAGGCCGAGGACGCCUUGAAUCUCCGGGCAAGUUAAGUUUGUCUCCGAGGCUCCGAACUGAAGGGAGCUGGCGGGUUAGUUAGGUAGUGAAGUGGGAGGGAAUAUAGUUUGUGCUGCUCCGCCAAUAGGAGAAAGAGGGUGUGUUGUAUGCAAAUUAUCCCGGGGAGCCCAGCCCCUUAUCUAAGGCAGGCCACGCCCCCUUCCCUAGGUCCCUGCAGAAAUGGUGAGGAGGGUGAGAAAAAUAACUGGGAGCUAGAGCUCGCUAGCGGGUCUAAGACUGAGCUAAAAAUUUCCUGAUUUCUUGAGAAAGGUUGGGAAGGGAGGGGGAACUGAAACGUUCAUACCAUCAGGGCAGCGGUUAGGCUUUCUCUCAGCCACAAUCUUAGCUUAGCUGUAAGGAAGACUGCAGUCACGUAGCACUUUGCUUCCAGGGAUCUCAAAGAACUUUAUGCAUCAUUUAUCGUGACCCUUGUUUUACAAAAGACCAGUUACCUGAGGUUUGGGCGGGGGUUAGGGGAUAGAUGUUUGAGGUAUAUUUACACCAUUAAUCGAGUGAGGGGGAAAAAAGACAAAACCUCUGGUUUAGCGGUUUUCUCCUCGAUCUGAAGCCCCUUCUCGCAGUCAUCUCAGCAAUGAAACUUCCUUUAUUUGUCCAGCACGAGAGGGCCAAAGAAACAGGUUUAUCCUCUUCACCCAAAAGCCCUUUCUGAGACGGCUGGCCAGACACACACAGAGCACAGAGCCCUGCUUGGGAAGGAAGGUUCAGAGAACAAAUUGCCUUUUAAAACUGUUGGGCUGGACCUGCCUCUUCCAAAGCUAAAAAUGGUGAGUCAGGAUUUUGGCGUCCAUGCUCUGGGGAGAGAAGGCAGAUGUAAUUGGGGAAAGCUCUGGCUGGCAGGGUGUUGGGGUACAGGCGAGUUGGGGAGCCAGGUCUCCCAAGGGGGCCAGCAAUGCGCGUGCUAGUCGAUUGCGGGCUCCCGACGCGAGACACCCCAAAACCUGCUCCCCAGUGAGAACAAAGGCAGGCGCGGAGCGAGAACCUGAUUGGUGCCCGGUCCUCACCGGUGUCCUCCGGGCCCCGGAGAUAACUUGCUUCACCCACUGGCGCGGAGCUCCGUCUCACUGGAGCCCCAGCUCCCCACCCGGCCUUGGCUGUGACCACACAGGACUGUGCGUUAUGACAUCACCUGUUUUCGCUCUUUAGAACACGAUCAGUAUUCUCGGCUUCUCCUUUUUUAAAGGUCUCUAGUGCACAAGGAUUUGCGAAGGCCUGCCGUUCACAGAAUGAAUCUGUGGAGAUGAUUUAAAAGAACGGUUUGCAUUUCUGUCUUUUCUUUUUAAUUUAAAAGACUACCCUGGUUUCCUUAGGGAUUCAGUGUGGUGUUGUGAUGCAAAAUCAGAAAGAGACCAACACGCUUAAACGAUGUCUACACAAGGAACAAAGGAAAUGGAAAUCUGGCAGUGUCAGGUUUAAAUAGAUUAAAAUAGACUGGAAAACACUAAAAAGGUCUAAGUUAUGUGACUGGACUUCUUUUUCUUUCUCUGGGGGCCACCCAAAGCCUUUGGAUUGCAGGUGCUUCAACAACAUCAUUCUACCCGGAUUCCAGAGUGAGAUCAGACCCCACCACUGACAGAAGCUGAAGUAAUCUGUUGUUUUCUGGGCUCUGAAGGUGCUGAUUUCAGUGUCUGUGAUGUUACAUCCGAGAGUCUUUGCUGGGUUUGAAACUGAGUGCUCCAAGCAAGUGGAUACCUUUUCUUCUUCUGCUAUCCCAGGGAAACACUGAGAUUAUUUCAGCAAAAAUAACGUUUCUGCCAAUCUGCAUCAUAACUCAGAGAGGCAGCUGGUCAAGUUAGCAAAGAAAACUGAUAUUUAGUCCUAAAGGAGCUUGGUUAAACUUUCGCUUUGUCUUUUUAUAUUUUGAUACAACAGUAUGGAGAUAGGUUAUCUUCUUACAGUAUUUGUCACCUGCUUUGUGAUUAUUUUUUUACUUGGAUGCCUUCUCCAUGAGAUUAUAUGCUUGAUAAGGACAGUUUUCCUCACCAUUGUAUCAUCAAUACAAUAAACAUUUUUGUUAAGAGAUGAAUAAAGAAAGUCAAUGCAGGGGGCCAGCCCAGUGGCAUAGUAGUUAAGUUUGUGCACUCUGCUUCCUCAGUCCAGGGUUUGUGGGUUCAGAUCCCAGGUAAGGACCUACACACCACUUAUCAAGCUGUGGUGGUGACCCACAUACAAAAGAGAGGAAGAUUAGCACAGACGUUAGGGCCAAUCUUCCUCACAAAUAAAUAAAUAAAAAGCUCCAUAUGAAGGGAGUGAUUAUGACUCUGUUCAUUCAUUCAAUAAAUAUUUAUUGAGCACCUACAAUAUACAGGCACAUCUUCUUUCCAGGCUUUAUGUUUAGACCAUUUUUUGAACUGUUUCUCAUGUCAUGGGAAUUCUGGACAAAUGCUGGUGUUCCUUCCUUAGAAGGACUCCACUGUGUUGAGGCGUCCCCCUUAAAAUACAGCUUCCAGAGCAGAGCAUGAUAACAUCCAUUCAUUAGUGUUACACAUUCUUGAAGUGCCAGCCAUGUGCCAGGCAUGAAGGUAACAGCGAUGAAUCAGAUACAGUUUUGUGCUCAGAGGACUCACUGCCCAGAAGGAGGAGGUUGCCCAGUAAACAAGAUAGUACAGCACAGGAAGCGACAGCAGAACCCGAAUGAUGGAAUGGCCAAUUCUCCUUGGAGAGGGGAAUCUGGAAAUGCUUCCCACACAGGGGAGGUGAAUCAGGAUAAGAGUGUGGACUUCUGACAGGUGGAUGGAGCUGGGAGAGGGUAUUCCAGAAAGAGUCAGCUGCCUGAGCAAAUGCAGGGAGGAAUGAAAUAGCCUAGUGAGUUCAAGGAACUGCAACGGCUUUGACAGGGCAGGAAUGUGGGUUGUGAGAUGGGGGUACAAAAGAGGUAUGACCAGAAAGUUAGGCAGGGUAGAGCUUUGAAUGCCAAACUGAGAAGCUUGGAUUUUUUUCCUACAAGGUGAUAAGGAGUCUCUAAUGUUUCUAGAGAAGGGAGAUAACACGAUUAGGUUUACAUUGUAGAAAGACACUUUGAAGGUGUGUGGCCUGGGGGCUGGACCUCUAGGAAACUGAGUCAGGGAGACCAGCUGAGAGACCAGAUCAUCUGGGUGAGAGAUGCAAUGGGAUUCCAUGUGGGCAAUAGCUGUGAGGAUGGAAAGAAGGGGAUGGUCUAAGGCAGUGAAGACUCAUGGGCAGGCUGUGCUGCAGGACUUGGCUACUCAAAGUGGG
ensembl:lncRNA